rnacentral:tRNA from 1 species
UGACCGGCCGGCGCGCGGCGGUGACCCGGCCGCCGCCGUCGGCCCAGGCGGUCACCUCGUCGGCCAGCAGCCGUUCGAGUCCGGCCAGGUCGCC